rnacentral:misc_RNA from 1 species
UUACUCCUCCCCAAACACAGCCAAUAGUUGAUGCACCUUCAGCAUAUGAAGAUGUUGCUAUUCAAGCCUCUCUGCAAUCUGAUGCUUCAGGUCUCAGCUUACCAGAGAUUCAAAAUGCUAGGGGACUAGCAGAUGUGUUAAUGGAAAUGCUUAGUGCCUUGGAUCCUAAGAACCCUGAGGGGCUGAAAGAAGAGGUGAUUGUUGACCUUGUUGACCAGUGCCGAUCUUACCAAAAGCGUGUCAUGCUUCUUGUGAAUAGUACAUCAGAUGAGGAGCUUCUAUUUCAGGGAUUGGCAUUGAAUGAUAACUUACAGCGAGUACUUCGUCGGCAUGAUGAAAUUGCGAAAGGUACCUAUCCUGCAGCAGAAACGGAAGCUGACACACCAGUUGUGCCACUUAUUAUUAACCAUGAUGAAGAUGAGACAGAA